ensembl:lncRNA
CCACCAGCGUGGACCUCCAAAUGUGAAGGAUCUAAUUUUAUAAUACGUUAUCGUUUCUAUAGCAACAGCUCAGUCACAGGGACUGGAUAAGAGAGAGGCUGGCGAAGGAAAGAUCGUUUAUACCUGCUGGAGCGUAAACGAGAACGAGAACUGAAAGCUAGUCAGUAGUCGUAUUAGUUGCAUGAAUACACUUUAGUAAAGUAACCGAACCAGAGCGUCAUCCUGAGCAUCGUAAAAAAAACAAAACAAUUCUAUUUAAAAUUGGAGAAUUUUUUAUUCAAGCCAGAAACAUCAAAAACAGUAUUUUUUAAAAAUAUCAUUUCAUAUGACAGAACGCAGUUCCGUACGCACCUGGGGUCAAACAGGAAGUAAUAGAACGAGAAAGAAAGAGACAGAGAGGCAGAAUAGAUACGGAGAUUGGAAACACUCCCAAGUCUGAUUUACUGUUUAAUAUCCUAAAACAUUUCGGACAUGAUUUACCGGACUCCACGAAUCGACCAAUCGCAAUCCGUUUGUCGGAGAGGAUCAGUCGUGAUAAAUGCUUUAAUAUAUCAGAGAAAAAUGGCAACAACAACAACAACAACAAAAAAAACCUUCUAUGUUUAAUUUUUUUAAUUUUGUUUUGGCACUCAGGUCACGAUGCCGGUCUUCACACUAAUUUAAUAAUUACUCGAGAAAUGGACCGAGGAUGGUGAUUUGAUGACUGGCGUCCUUUAAAAACGGAAUUUUCCCCCAACCAACAGCAUUUAAAAUAACACGCACCCGACCCAAAUCCGAACACUCGCUCUAAAUAGUUCAAGUUUAUUGAUAAUCGGCAGAAUUUCGUUUUUAAAUCUAAACGCAGGACGUUAAGCGCCCUCGAUCGGACGUAAAUGUCCUGGGUGACUAGAUCACAUCGUUAAUCGUUAAUAUUACGUAACUGUUUGUAAUGGAAAGUUCUGCCACGUUCGCUGUGGUCGAUAAAGGUUUAAAACACCAGUUUGAAUUUCCUGGGCAUUCUAACUCAUUAGAGAAAGUGCGUUCUGUAUCGUACACGUCAGCUGACCCGUCUCUGGAACUUUCCAUACGGCACGUCGGCAUGUAUGAUACGGUAACGAUAGUCAAGUUAAAGGGAAAUAUGUCGAAUCGGCUGUUUGUGCAUCGGGCCUGCUAAGUGCAAGCAGCAGUUAGAGGAUGAGAGCAUGAUGAAGAAUUAAAAGCGAGCGCGGAUUCUAUCCAGGGGGUCGGUGUCCCACAUUUUGGCGUCCCAGCCCUGGAACCAGCCUGUGAAGGUCGGAGGCUCGGUGCCUUGUUUAAUGGUGGUGAUGGGGAUACCACGCCGGCCGGACGGGUCUGUGUCCAGGUACUCUUUAGCUGUGGAGAGGAUAAUAAUAAUAAUAAUAAUAAUAAUAAUAAUAAUAAUAAUAAUAAAAUGUUCCAUUUAUUUAGCCGUGUUCAGUGUUGUGUUACGGCAUAUUUAGACAUCGAGUCUUACCGAUUUUUGGAGCGCCGGUCUUCUCCACUUCGUUAGCUUCGUUGCCCACCCACAGGAAGAGCUACGGAUAAGAGGAUCGUAAUCAUCUUGAGGACUUUACAAUUACUCGGUGUCUCUUAAGACAACAAAGGCCAUGUGCUUUAGUUCGAGUUUAAAUUUUUGUUGUGUCUCCGCCCGCCGUCUCGUCAUCGAAUCACUGUUUCAGUGUUUCCUACGUUCUCCCUAAUCACUCUGCGACGGACGGAGUUCACUCACCUGAUCCCAAGUGUCCAGCAACAUGACGUCGUCGGUGGCCAAAUCCGCCUGGCCGAAGUCACCGGGUACCUCCUCAACCUGCGAGGACAGGAAGUGGAAAAUCGGGAAUGAAUUCAUCCGAGCACGCACCGUAAUGUCUCGUUAAUUUCUUAUUAAUAUCAAGAGAAAAGCUUUUUAUUUAUUUAUUUAUGUAUGUAUGUAUGUAUUUAUUUAUUUACCGUGAGCCGGCCAGACUUGUUGGAGCAGCCGAACAGACGAGGGGGUUUGACGGUAUUUUCAGAGUCACGGAAGUCUGAUAUUCCUUCUUCCCUCCCAGAGCGGUCCAGAAUCCGGCUACGACGAGACGUCAGGGAUUAAAAAGGGUUAAUAUUGCAGCACGGGUCCGUGAAGCGGCGCUUUAAAGGAAUGCUCUGGAAUUCAUUUCUUUUUUAACCUAGUCUCUAUCCAACGCAUCUGUAGUGUACGUGUGAUUAGUAUGGGCAGGAAGUUUGAAAUGUUUCAUUCGUGACAUUUGUUCACUUCAAAUUCACUUACAAUGGAAGUCUAUGGGCAGUUUAUUCUUUUUUCUUUUUUUUUUUGUGAGCAUGAAAACCAAAAGGUGGAUUUUCUAAUAUAAAAUGCAGAGCCAAUCCUGACCUGGCUCUUUGCCCUCGGUGACGUCGGUGGGUUUCCCUCCCAGGAAGCUGACGACGAAUUUGGCACCUUUAACUUCCUCCUCGCUGGCACCGACGCCCCUCCACACGAAGAGCGAAUCGGGAGACUUCAGCACGAACACAUCGUUGGAGUUGAGGUUGGAUGCACAAGGCUUCACCUAGAGUUACAGUCAGAGAGAGAGAUAACGAUAAUUGCACGUGAGGUCAUAUAAACACUAUACACUGGGCAGUAUAAACCAGAUCCAUUCAGUUUAAACUUUAAACCGCGAGACUCCGCCCACUCACCUCCACGGCGCGAGUGGCUUUGGCGGUGCUGGUACGGACGUGGAAGAGACGCGUGGUUCCCGCCUGCGUCUGCCCUCCUUUACGUGACGUUCCUCCACUGUGGAUGAUCAUGGGCUUUCCUUUAAACAAGCUCAUCAGAUUUCCUCCAGAACAAUCUCGAAAUGGAACGAGCAGGAGGACGCGUAUCGUACCUGAACCUUUCCGGACCCGUCGUCCACCAUGUUGUGCUGCGCCGCCAUGGCCUGGUUGGUGUGCAGGGUGGAGGCGUCGAAGGGGACCUGCUUCACCUGUGCGAUCUGCCCGAUGGUGUACGCUUUGCUCGGGCCCGUGGUCUGGUCCUUAUCCUUCCAGUUCGAGAAGAACUGCUUGAAGAGAGUGGUCUCGCCCCCUGCAGGCAGCACCUGGAUCUGCAGGCACGCAAAGGCAAAGACUACACUGUAAUAAAG